UACGUAGGGCCCAAGCGUUGUUCGGAUUUACUGGGCGUAAAGGGCGCGUAGGCGGCGUGACAAGUCACUUGUGAAAUCUCCGGGCUUAACUCGGAACGGCCAAGUGAAACUGUCAUGCUAGAGUGCAGAAGGGGCAAUCGGAAUUCUUGGUGUAGCGGUGAAAUGCGUAGAUAUCAGGAAGAACACCCGUGGCGAAGGCGGCGCUCUGGAACGCAACUGACGCUGAGACGCGAAAGCGUGGGGAGCAAACAGG
rnacentral:rRNA from 1 species